rnacentral:rRNA from 1 species
UACGGAGGGUGCGAGCGUUGUCCGGAAUCAUUGGGCGUAAAGGGCGCGUAGGUGGCCACUUCAAGCGUGCGGUGAAAGUCGGGGGCUCAACCCCUGAUCGGCCGUGCGAACUGGGGGGCUGGAGCACUGUAGAGGCAGGCGGAAUUCCGGGUGUAGCGGUGGAAUGCGUAGAGAUCCGGAAGAACACCGGUGGCGAAGGCGGCCCGCUGGGCUAUGGCUGACACUGAGGCGCGACAGCGUGGGGAGCAAACAGG